ensembl:lncRNA
GUUUUUUCUACAUAAAUGUUUUACAUCCAUGUAUUUCUACAUACCCACAGAUGUAUCACUGUGAACGUAAUCAAGCUACCCUUCUGAACCAAUCAGGUUUUAGGAUAUACCGAACGCAGGUACUGAAGUCCUAGCUGGGGUAAACCAAUGUUUAAACCUAAACUGACACAGUCCUGGACAGAGAACACUUACAGUUUGAGGCUGGAGCAUUUGAGACGUUCCACUGCCCUCUAGUGGUCAGAGUGAGACCUAGCGGGAACACCUUCGAAUGGAAGAGCCCACAUCGAAACGGCACACAUUCACCCUUCACAACGACGCUGACGAGCGGAUGUUCUUGGCCCAGCUGUUGUUCAGGGUAAGUGGAAACAGCAUGUGACACAACUUCUACUUUUAAAUGUUACCAUGGAGGCUGACUCCACCUUCAUUAUAUUAGAGUUAACUCACGCCACUGUAACCAGAGUUCAUUAUAUUAUAGUUAACUCACGCCACUGUAACCAGAGUUCUCCCCUGGGCUCAACAGAGAAACAUACACAUCAGUAGCAUUACAAGGUUUGUAUAGUCAUUUUUCAACUUUACAUGACCCAUCAUAUUGUAAUCAUCUGACUGUUUGGAGUUUAUAUGUGGGAUUCUCCAGAGCAGUAGGAGCUGUCUUCUGGGUGACUGUAGCUCAGGUCCAGCUCUCUCAGGUCCAGUUCUCUCAGGUCCAGUUCUCUCAGGUCCAGUUCUCUCAGGUCCAGCUCUCUCAGGUCCAGCUCUCUCAGGUCCAGUUCUCUCAAGUCCACCUCUCUCAGGUCCAGCUCUCUCAGGUGUGAGGGGGUUGACCUCUCGGCAGAAGCCAGAACAGCACAGCCCUUCUCUGUGACCAGAUAGAAUUUCCACAGGCUAACCUUCUUUUCUUCAAUUCAGUCUCUGAAUAUUCUACAGUUGUGCUAAUGGUAUUGCUAUGAUUUCCUUUCUUUAUUUUAACUAUAUUUUCCCCUCCCAGUUUUGUGUAGAACCACAGUGAUAGUAAAGCUAUAGGCCGUUCUUCAUUCUGUUGUGGUCUUAGAAGUGUGUGUGGUGUUAGAUGUGUGUGUGGUGUUAGAUGUGUGUGUGGUCUUAGAAGUGUGUGUGGUGUUAGAUGUGUGUGUGGUGUUAGAUGUGUGUGUGGUGUUAGAUGUGUGUGUGGUGUUAGAUGUGUGUGUG